AGUUGUCGUGCAGGGGAUGCCCAUCGUUUACUGUGAAAAAAUUAGAGUGUUCAAAGCAGGCUUAUGCCGUUGAAUAUAUUAGCAUGGAAUAAUGAUAUAGGACCUUGGUACUAUUUUGUUGGUUUGCGCACUAAGGUAAUGAUUAAGAGGGACAGUUGGGGGUAUUUGUAUUCCAUUGUCAGAGGUGAAAUUCUUGGAUUUUUGGAAGACAAACUACUGCGAAAGCAUUUACCAAGGAUGUUUUCAUUAAUCAAGAACGAAAGUUAGGGGAUCGAAGAUGAUUAGAUACCAUCGUAGUCUUAACCAUAAACUAUGCCGACAAGGGAUUGGCGGAGUCUCGUUUCGUCUCCGUCAGCACCUUGUGAGAAAUCAUAAGUCUUUGGGUUCCGGGGGGAGUAUGGUCGC
rnacentral:rRNA from 1 species